GGGAGGGGGCAGGACCGGGUGUACGCCUGGCGGUUUGAUUGGCUGGGCUUACCAUGGCUGAGAGGGGCGGUGAGCACUGAUUGGUCAGCUGAGCCGUCACUCGCGCGGUGGCGGCGCGCUGGGCGGGCGGCCCUCAGCGGCGCUGGCCGGCGCGGUUUGGUGCCCGCCGCCGUCCCGCCGCCUUCGCCCCGCCCGGGACGGGUCCCGCCGAGGGCGGUGUGCCCGCGGGAGCCGCACGCUGCCCUUCUGACCCGCUCCGCUCCGAGCCACCGUGGAGCAGUGGGGGUGUCUUCAUGUCGUAACCCUCCGUCUUGGUCACAUGGCCGCCCCGCCUCACCCUGCACAUGUCCCAGAGGGUCGCUGCUGCCUGGAGCUCUUCCUGAACAUCUCUGUAGUUACAUUGACAGACUGAUUGUGGUGCAAGCCGAGACAUCCAGCAACUGUAUCCUGCAUUUGUGAGCUGCUGCCAGCCUCUCGAGCAGGGCAUAUGUUCUUCUGUGCUUUAAAGGCAUCCUUGGCUGCAGAGCUGUCUUGGUUUCCUGAUAAUUCUCUUUCAGUUCGUGUCGAAUUUAGUCACAAAUUGCACACAUACGUUUCAAUCCAUUAGCACUUAAGAUUCUAGUUCUGCCUCUCACAUUUUCAUAUCAUUUUCUUGUGCAUGGUUUGUGUCAAACAUACAGUUAUGUUCAAUCUGAGAAGAGCAAUAAUUAAUACAUUGCUUUCAACAGAGUGUGUGAUGGAGGACCAACCCAAACCACUCAAUGUGGUGACUGCAGAACCACACAACAUCAUUUUGGCAAAUGCAACCUUGCAGAGUUACAAAGGGAUUUGUUUUGCUGAUCUAACACAAAAUUGGUGACACAUACAGAUAUUAUAUAUGCAUUCCAAAGUUAAUUCCUUGCAAUACAUUGUCUUUUCUGCAUUUUGUUGUUUACAGAAGACUUGAUUCAAAGCCCUAAAUCAAGGCAGUGGAAGAUGCCCACCAUGUGCAGAGUACUUCAGGUCAGGCCUAAACAGAUAUUGAGGCAAAGUUCUCCAGCUCAUGCUCUUACAACAGCAAUGGAACAAAACUGCACUGCAGAAUGUUUGAGUGCAGAUAUUGCUCAAACAAUUUCAGCAAAAAACUUACUUUGCAGAAUUCUGAGUUACAUGUUAUAUACCCUGAGCAAUCACUUCCCAAAGUUAUGAAUGAAAGAGAGAAAGCAAGCUGAAAUGUCACUUUGUCAUUAUUUACUCGAAAGAGCACAUUCCUUUCUCAUGUAAAAAGUGCAUUCAGGUCAAUUCCUUUCAAGAUCAUGGCUCUUUCCUAUAACAGCAAGUUUCUGGCUGUUGUCUGCCUAUGUACAUAAGCAAUGGAAGCUGCAUUUUGUGAAAAUAUUUUGCAUAGCAAGAGUUUAAUUUUCAAACCAGUGUGUGGGGAUUUAUCUGUACUCUGUUGAUGCAUUUUGGGGAGGAUAUGUUAUCUCACAGCUUGUCACAUCCUGCUAGUAAAACACCACUAUCUUAAACCGUUUUGUACAAGUUAAACCUCUUGUGUAAAUAUAGAAGCAAACAAAAGCUUCUCCUUUACCUAACAGACCCGUGGUAUGUGUUUGUGCCAACAACCUUAUUACUCAUGCAAGACCUGCCAACCAAGCUGUGAUUAAUUUAUGUGAGAAAACUGUAUAUUAAAAAUGUGAAUGGGAUUUUAAGCCUCUCACUGAAAUACAAGCAAACUGCUUUGUGGCCAAGAAGACAUACUUAAACACUGCAUUAAAGCAAUUCAAGAUAAAUUACUCUCACCACAGGUGGAGUUUAGCUGUGAAAAGAGGAGACAAGGCACUUAAUCUUAACGCUAAGCUUGAUCAAGCAGAACAUAUUUUUAUUAGCAGAUACAUUUUCUAAAAAGUAAGGUCCUGAUUCAGCAAAGCCCUUAGAACAUACAGACGUUACUCAGGGAACAACCUUAAAGUUGGCCAAAUCCCACGUGGGAAGUGCCACUGCUCAGCAUUACUGGCAGAGAAGUUUGUGCUGGAGCAUGGCUCUGGGAUCACUGCUAAUAUAUCCACAGUGCACUGUAUGGACAUAAAUACUGAACAUGAGUGUUCAGCAAAAUCCUAAGCUAUGGGGACAGAAGAAUUUUGCUGCUUGCGAUGGGGACUCACUUUCUCUUUAAGUUGCUGCAAUACCUGGUGCCAUAGGGCUCCACAGUGUUAGAAUACUGUGAAAUAGUAAUUUGUGGUAAUAAGCUUGUUGCAGCUAUCAUCCAGUCUGGUUGUAUUUCUUUUAUAAAUAUAUGUUAUAGACAAUGCUCAGAAAUGCACUGAAACUGAAAGAUAAUGGAAACAUCAGUACUUACAGUUUCUAGACCAUGUUUCACCAAGUCCUUUUUUUCUCCAGCCAGCCUUUGACAAAAUUCUUUGCCUUUAAUACACAUCAAAGUACCACAAGGUUGAACUUCUAGAUACCCACUGCAAACAGCCAAGUGAUUUUGUGAAGUCAACUUGUGCAUUCACUCAUGGAACACUGUUAUUUUCUGCUUCUGUCCAAAAGGAGAAGCAUAAAUGCUGGCAAGUAGCAUAAACUGGGAAAACAAAACCAUAAUAAACCAGGUAAAAAAUAUUUUGAAGCGUAAUUUUUUUUUUCCCCAAACACAUCAAGAACAGAUCUUCCAGAGAAUGUGAGGAACUAGGAGGCAACAGAGAUGUAACAGACGCAUUCAGGGAAAACAGGAGAAAACCAAGUACUUUUUUUCUGUCACUGUUCUUUUUGGCAAAUUUUGAGGUGAUUGCCACAACAAAACCUUUUUUAGGGGCAUGGUCAAAAAAAAAAAACAUAUUUGAAAAACUGAGUGUCUGUGGUUUUAGAGCCAGUCAGUAAACUGUACAGUACCUGAGUGCCAGGACAAUGUAUUUUUCACCCCAGGGUUCAAAAGGAGCUUGGAUCUGAAAUCGCCAAACUGUUAACUGUGCUUUGUAAUUUAUGGUUUGGAGUGAACCUAGUUCUGGAAGAAUAGAAAUUUUUAGACAAGCCUUCAGAAAAAACAGAAAUGACAACCCAGUCAGUCUAACACAUGUCUCAUGACCAUGCAAUGAGAAGAAGCAGAAACUGCAAACCUGGUAGUGCUUUAAAAAUGUCAGCAAAGUCAGCAAAUAUUGAUAAAGAGGAGCUGACUUAUGUAGACUUUGUAUAAACACUGGGACUCUGGAGUUUUCAGCUUUAAUCAACUCCCUGUUGGAAGAAGACCAAGUUUGUACCAACUUCUGCUAUCUUCUUCCCCCUCUCCUCCUCCCAGCUUGCUUUUACUCUCAGUCUAAUUGCCACAGAAAGGAAAUCCAAAUGUGUGGCACCUGGGGAGACAGAGCAUGUUUGGGGUGUCUCCCCAGUCUGACCCAUAAAGGAGCCAUGGACUUGAUUGAAGAACAUUUAACAUGCAGCCUGGAUGAAGCAAUCACAUAUGAAGAUUUCCCCAAACAGUUUUACAAAGCCCAGGAGGCGAGCUCUCUUUGUGAUUGGUAACUGCUUCAAAGGGAAGAUGGAUGGGUAAAUGAUCACAAAGGGAAUAGCCAGAUUCCAAAUGUACCUGAGCUUUACAACACGUUCACAAGUGGUAAGUGAAACAGGAUUGGACAGUGUUUUCUAGGGAUUCACAGUUAUUUAGGAAAAUCAAAACCAAAAUUGCUGACACAAAGUAGCCAAAAGACAAAAACAUCAUGAUAAAAUAGCAGCUAAAUGCAAUGAUCACAUAUCAGUGAAAGGAAAACAAAAAAAAUCUACUUGUGCAACAUAGUAGGCUCUAAUUGGUUCAUAUCAGUCAGCAAAGGUAUUUUGAAGCCACUAUGGAUACUUUUCUGAAAUGUUAGUGCUAAGAGAGGCAGUUUGGACUGAUAAGGACAGAAGAGAAUGAAAAAGCAACAAUUAAAAAAAGGGUACUGUAUAAAUCUUCAGGAAUUGUGUUCUUUCCCUUAAUACUAGCCAAAAUUCUGCUUAUAGCAUCUUGACACAAGGUACAUCUUAAGCAUUGGAAAACCAUGAAAAAACAGGAAAAAAAGUGACCAGAUUGAUCAGAAAGACAGAAUACCUUCUAAGACAGAUCAGUUACUCUGGAACUACUUAGAAAAUAGAUGAGAAAUGGCAGAUGGAAUACAGUAUCAAAAAUCAAGUCUGACAUGAGAAAGGUGAACAGGGAACAAUUACUCAUUUCUUAAGAGAACAACGAUGAAUCUAAUAAUAUUUUUUCAAAUGGAAGUGUAAAAAAAGCAAAAGGAAGUACUAUUUAAACAACAUCUGCUUAAUUUGGAUAAUUCAUCAUCAUGAGAUCUUUUAGAUGCCAAAAAUACUUAGGGCAGGAAGAAGUUCCUAGACAAAUUUACAGAAAAACAGGCUGCUUUGCAGAGAAAUGGAGAGAGCCUCCAAUUCCAUCCUUAGAUAGUCAGAGAUUGAACUGGUAAAUAGGAGGAGAAAUUAAGCUGUAACUGUUCUCUCCUUAUAUUUCCACUGUAGGGAACUGCAGGGCAUCAGGUUACCUGGACUUUUGGUGUGACUUGGGUCAGCCUUUCUUAUAUUGCAGCUGCAGCAGAAAGAUGUUCCCACCUCAGACCUUUUGCUUCCUGUCAUAUCCUGUGGGGACUGAACCUGAGAAAUCCCAGUAAAACAUUCAAAUCAAUGAACAUUCAAUCUUAUGAACGUUUUUAGAACUUUAAAAGGGAUUUAAUCAACAUUUUAAGAUGAGAUCCAGUGACCUUAAUUUAGCAAACCAGUUGCAUAGAUACAAAGCCAAAAACGAUGGUUUAGUUAGACCUUCAUUUUGACUUAGCCCAAAGAGCCUCACCCAGUAAUUUCUGCAACAGGCCUAUAACUUUGGUUUGAGCUGUGUUGCAUGUUUUAAAAUAGGGGUUUUUUUCUUUUUCUAAGUCCAUCAUUAAGCAACCCAGCAGUAACAACUGCUACUAAAGCCUUCUGGAUCUGGAAUGCUUCAGAAAAUUUCUGGAGUAUUUGGGAGGAGAGAAAGAUACAUGCAAAAAGCAGAGUAUAAGUGGGCUCCAUUUGUGUGGAAUUGGUUCAAUUCUACUAUUGAUUUCCUUCUACAGUGAUAAAAAAAUUGAAGUAAUAUUUGAAAUGAGCAGCUGACACAUACAGGUUUCACCUCCACAGGCUUUAUUUUAUUUUUUCCUUACUUUACGUUGACCUGUAUUUGACUGAAUUGUAGGUAACUAUCCAGAAAGUAGAGAGUUUUCUUUCAAAGCUCAAAGUCAGAUAGCAGUGGUUCUAAUAAGAACGAUGCAAGUGCACAGGUUGGUUUGUACUCAAUGCUAUUUACGUUUCUGUUGCUAAGAUCCCUGAGUGAAGGCCUUUAUUCUCUUAAGGUGACAGCAAUUUGUGUGGAUAAGCAGUGCACACUGUACAUCGGUAAAGAAGUUCCUUGAGCUGGUUUUGCUUCCUUGAUCUACAAUACAAACACUGGAAUAAGCUCGCACUUUCAGAUGGGCAGUUUCAUAUUUCAGGCCUGUUUCCAGUAGAACAUCAGGAAAUCUUUUGAAAAAUACCAGUACAUAUAGAAGAAGAGAGGAGAAAAUGGUCUCUCUGUCAUCCUUUCCCAUUUUUUUCCCUGAGGAUUAAAAAAAAAUACUGUAGUGCUUGGUUACUUCAGUCUUUCCCAGGCUUCUUUAUAAAAGUUUGCACAGAACUCCUCACUCAUGUGAGAGCCAGUGGAGACCGUGUGCCACCUCUCCCUGCGCCGCAGUUUCACAGUUGUGGUUUUGAGGUCAGCAUUGUCUGCCAACAGCCAGCAGCAGUGCAGGGCUUUUCCCUGCUGGUAAAACAUACCCAGAAAUGCACCCCCAGUCCUGAAAAUGCCUUUCUCCACUGCAGUAUAACAUUACAUGUUUCCAAAGUAAGUGUUCUCUACAAAUAUUUCUGAAGAGAAAAAUAAAAGAGCAUUCAUUGACUGUUGUGGUUUGCUCUGACCUUCAAUUACAGCGCGGUACAGAAAACUGCCAAAUUUGGCCUGUCCUGAGAAAAAGACAAAGAUGGCAGCAACUCAACUAAACAAAACAAAUGUGCAAAAUACUUCCUGGUACACUCACAUUCUGGCCUCCUGCACAAAAAAUUGCCAAGACAGAAUUUUUGACUGGUUAAGUUCUUCCAGGAACUGUACAACCUGUUCUGCAUUUUUGAUUCAUAGAAUGUUCACUUUCUGGCUUCCUGAAGUGGUUCCAAAGUUCAUGCCAUAAGCAGAAAAAAUUUUAGAAAGCUUGGGCUAAUCAUGUAGAAAUUAGCCAGACUAAUUAUAAUGAAAAACAUCAACAUUUACAGAAAAUUCAGCUCACUGCAUUUUCUAAUCAGAUCAAGAAUGCAAAAUGUAGUAUGUGUUCCUUUUUAUUUAAAAAUAUUUGUAUCCUAAAAAUAGUAUGGAUGGAGUGUACCAGAUAACAUCUGAAACUUUCAGCAGAGACAAGAGGACCGGAGAGCCAGUGGGAGUUUUCAAACUAUUUGCCAUUUGGUGAAUAGAACCCUGGAGAGAUGCUUUCACAGACACAAAAGUGGCUUCUGUGGUACCAAGGAACAGAAGAAGAGAGAUGCCAGUAAAGGGUGAGUUGGCAGCCCUGUGGACUGACAACACUGAAACCAGCAAAGCACAGAGUUGCUCUUACACCUCUACUGUACCUGCACCUUCCUUACUCAACCCCAAAGGGACCACGCACAGAGGACAGGAUCUCUCAGUGCUUCAUGGCUCUGGUGACACCACCACCAAGGCUAGCAUUUAUUUGCACAUUGAAUGUGGCUUUUAUCUGAUCUAUAGCAGGUCUGUAAUGUUACCCACAGCUCAUAAAAUUUGCUUGUUAUCUGAGAAUCUUUGCUUUCAUGUACUAGUGUUUCCAACAGCCAUGGUACUGAUGAGGAGUGAUAAUGACAAUGUUUCUAGUCAUAAUUGUUGUGGGGACUUGGAAAUGUGAAAGUUAAAAAAGUCAGAAAAAAAACCCCAAAAACCAACAGAAUGAAAAUUAAAAUGCACCUAUAUUAUUUCACAAUCUUGGAAACAAGCUCUUUUUUGAAUGCUUGCCUUUACCAGUAAUGUUGUUACUGAUACUCCCAAGUCACCUUUAAGACAGUAGAAAGUGUGCUUGUAUUCCUCUCUGUGUAAAAAGGUAAAAAUCUGGAGCUCUUUCUCUGUAGCUCCAGGCUCAGCAGUCCCUGGACUGCAGUGAGAGGGUUUUUUGGGGGAUGUCUGUUGCUUUUUCUUAAGUACACAAAAACCAGGAUAUUUACCCUCAUUGCAGUGAACUUGUUCUGGGAUCAGUGAGCAGGACCGCAGCAGUUCAGAGAAGUAGGAAAACAUCAGGUAAUGAGAGGCUGGACUGAGAUUAGGACAGAGCUGAAAGGCACUUUAGGAGAUGACCUGGGAGGCAUUUUGGAAGACAACUGAGCAGUCCCA